CGGACAGAGGCACGUUGAUGACGUCAAAAAGACAGAAAUGUUGAUGACAUUAAACAACAGCCAGACACACAAGUUGAUGACGUCAAACAACAGACAAUACGUCUUCUAAUGAGGAACAGCAAUCGUAUUGUAGUGACGUAGGGCUUGCCGUGGUCGUGACGUAGCACUUGCUAGGGUCGUGACGUAGCACUUGCUAUAGUAGGGUAGGCGGAAUGUGUCGGUCUUGAGCCGUGCGGCAGCCACAGAGCCGCGAUGCGUAUUCAGGGGAGGUAAUUGUCUUGUAGGUGGAGGGUAACGGGCGGCAAGAUGAAAGCUGCAUGCUCAGCUCUAGACACAGCGGACCACUUACACCUCUCUGCCCUUAUAGCCACUAAAUACAAUGAACCACUUACAACUCUGGUACUACGACGACAGACAACUAUGGCAUGACACUCGUCACGAUGACUGUCAUGAUCGUUACGACUGCUGUAACACUCACCCUGACUAUUGUAACGCUCAGUAACAUUCCUGUAACAAUCAGUCGCAAGUCCCACAACAUCGCUGACACAGGUUAUACACGUGCUGUCAGUGACACAGGUUAUACACGUGCUGUCACUGACACAGGUUAUACACGUGCUGUCACUGACACAGGUUAUACACGUGCUGUCAGUGACACAGGUUAUACACGUGCUGUCACUGACACAGGUUAUACACGUGCUGUCACUGACACAGGUUAUACACGUGCUGUCACUGACACAGGUUAUACACGUGCUGUCACUGACACAGGUUAUACACGUGCUGUCACUGACACAGGUUAUACACGUGCUGUCACUGACACAGGCUAUACACGUGCUGUCACUGACACAGGUUAUACACGUGCUGUCACUGACACAGGUUAUACACAGACUACCGCUAUUGCCGGUAUCGCUGCUAAAUAUCGACGCUCAGCCUUUUGCCUCAUUUUGUGUAAUCAUGUAGCACAGAUCCCGUCAGCUGUGACACGCAUGCUAGACAGCUGUGACACGAAUGCUAGACAAUCUGUACAGCCCUGACGUCAAAAGUCUGGAAGACGUCCAUCGUCAUUGAGUGGUUGGCAUGACAACAGGCCUGGGACAUGACAUGAAGCAGAGAGUGGGCAGCCUCAUACCCUCUCAACCCUCCACCUGCACUGGGCCUCACCAACAGCACCGCUCAUCCAAACGGUGUGAGCCACGACGUCAGCAACACUAGGCCACGACGUCAACAACACUAGGCCACGACGUCAACAACACUGGGCCACGACGUCAGCAACAUUAGGCCACGACGUCAGCAACAUUAGGCCACGAGGUCAGCAACAUUGGGCCACGACGUCAGCAACACUGGGCCACGACGUCAACAACACUGGGCCACGACGUCAACAACACUGGGCCACGACGUCAACAACACUGGGCCACGACGUCAACAACACUGGGCCACGACGUCAGCAACAUUGGGCCACGAGGUCAGCAACAUUGGGCCACGACGUCAACAACACUGGGCCACGACGUCAACAACACUCGGCCACGACGUCAGCAACAUUAGGCCACGACGUCAGCAACAUUGGGCCACGACGUCAGCAACAUUGGGCCACGAGGAUUUGUAAAGAUGCCGUUCAGCUUCAUCUGACUUCAGCGUCCGUUGCCCGCUGCUGUGUGAGUCACUUUCACUCGUUUGGGGAAAAGACGCUUUUCUCGGCUGCCAGGUCAGGCAAGACUUUCUGUGGAAUUUCCUCAGGACUGCUGCAGGCCGUUUGAAUUGGCGCUGAAGCAGACGUGACCCACGCCGAUGUGAGACCAGUGUCACUCAAGCAUCUGCUUCCCUUCCGGAAGUCCACAGCCUCAUCCUCGCUACAGGAUCUGACGGCGGGACAACGCAGGUCAGGCGUGCGGCCAACGUUGCUGCCUGUCGUCUGCAAUGACAAUACAGCGCAUCACGUGAUUUUGAGAAACAAGUUCAUCCUCCACCAAAUCUGUUGGGCAGGAACAACCAUGCAGCAGGCAACACACUCAGCCCCUGGAGCCCUGGACACUUGGCGAGGGCAGGUCACAAGGUCACUGCCAGAUGCUCACCAGUGUACCCCAGGAUGCUUAGUUGUCUGUUGUCUGUUGUCAGACCCCAACACCCGCUGUACCCCAGGAUGCUUGGUUGUCUGUUGUCUGCUGUCUGUUGUCAGACCCCAACACCCGCUGUACCCCAGGAUGCUUAGUUGUCUGUUGUCUGUUGUCUGCUGUCAGACCCCAUCACCCGCUGUACCCCAGGAUUCUUGGUUGUCUGUUGUCUGCUGUCUGUUGUCAGACCCCAACACCCGCUGUACCCCAGGAUUCUUGGUUGUCUGUUGUCUGCUGUCUGUUGUCAGACCCCAACACCCGCUGUACCCCAGGAUGCUUGGUUGUCUGUUGUCAGGCCCCAACACCCGCGGGUGUCACACCAUCGUAACGACCCACAACAAACAAUCGCCAGCUUUAAUAAAAGCAGAGAACUGA